CCUGGAGACACAAGGAGACAGGAUGAGGGACAAGGAGGGACAUGGAGACAGGAUGUGGGACAUGGAGACAGGAUGAGGGACAAGGAGGGACAUGGAGACAGGAUGUGGGACAAGGAGGGACAUGGAGACAGGAUGUGGGACAUGGAGACAGGAUGUGGGACAUGGAGACAGGUUGAGGGACAUGGAGACACAAGGAGACAGGAUGAGGGACAAGGAGGGACAUGGAGACAGGAUGAGGGACAUGGAGACAGGAUGAGGGACAUGGAGACGGGAUGAGGGACAUGGAGACGGGAUGAGGGAUAUGGAGACGGGAUGAGGGACAUGGAGACGGGAUGAGGGACAUGGAGACACAAGGAGACAG